GUGGGCGUAGCUCAAUGGUAGAGCGUCUGGUUGUGGUCCAGAAGGUUGCGGGUUCGAUCCCCGUCGUCCACC
rnacentral:tRNA from 1 species